rnacentral:rRNA from 1 species
GGAUCUGCCUCUGAAUUCACGGCAUCUGCCUCCGAAUUCAGGGCAACUGCCUAACAGGCGGUUGGUUCUGAUUCAGGACCAGCCUGAGUCACGAGAGAUAUGGGGAAGGUUCAGAGACUUGACGGGGGUGGGUGAAUUCACUGCUGCUGCAACAAUAUAAAUGGGGAGAGAUCCUCUUCUUCUUCUUCCAACAACCAAACCAAACCACAACUGAACCUCAAACAAGACCCACAAGCUCUUCAAAAUGUCCCAUUCUUCUCCCUCUCCUGUUCUCGCUAACGGGAGCGAGUAUGUCGUGAGGGAUGGAGGUUCGUCUGGUCA